UACGAAGGGGGCUAGCGUUGUUCGGAAUUACUGGGCGUAAAGCGCGCGCAGGUGGUCUUUCAAGUCAGUGGUGAAAGCCCGGAGCUCAACUCCGGAAAUGCCAUUGAAACUGUAAGACUUGAGGAUGAGAGAGGUGAGUGGAAUUCCCAGUGUAGAGGUGAAAUUCGUAGAUAUUGGGAAGAACACCGGUGGCGAAGGCGGCUCACUGGCUCAUAUCUGACGCUCAGGCGCGACAGCGUGGGGAUCAAACAGGG
rnacentral:rRNA from 1 species